GUGUGUAUGCGCAGCAGCUCUCAAACUAAAACUACAUUUUCUUUUAUCUAGUGUUCUGGUACACGACAGGAAAAACAAUACGGACCAGAUUUGGACUAGCACUGCUCUGGCUAACACUACAAGAGUUCGAUUGUCAAGCAGCUGGUGGAACAAAUCCAAUUUGCAGAAGCAACGUUGAGAUGUCCAGAAUAAAAUGCAUGCGUGGAGCGAGAGGAAUGGCAGCAACGACAGCCUCAAAAAUUAUACGACGUGGCUGAAAACAGAAAAAGCUGGGCAUGGCAAACUUUCGGCAAGUCAAUUCCUGAAUUUCAAUCAGACAGCGAAGCAACCCUGUGAGAGUGAUUGCAAAGAAUAACCGAAUAGUUACCGACAUAUUAUCAUGAUCACGAUGCAUUGACUUUGAACGACAAAUUGUUUUAGAAAUUUUAGCUUGUAAAUUUGCAGACUUUAGUAUUUCUGCAGUACAUGACGCUAGCUAUUGCCAUGGUACGUAGAAAUGUAAUUGAGCUUAAAAAUGUAUGUAUGCAUGAUUUUCAAAACGGAUCCAAUAACAACAUUUG